rnacentral:rRNA from 1 species
AUUGAACGCUGGCGGCAGGCUUAACACAUGCAAGUCGAGCGGGGUGAUGGUGCUUGCACUAUCACUUAGCGGCGGACGGGUGAGUAAUGCUUAGGAAUCUGCCUAUUAGUGGGGGACAACAUCUCGAAAGGGAUGCUAAUACCGCAUACGUCCUACGGGAGAAAGCAGGGGAUCCCUUGUGACCUUGCGCUAAUAGAUGAGCCUAAGUCGGAUUAGCUAGUUGGUGGGGUAAAGGCCUACCAAGGCGACGAUCUGUAGAGGGUCUGAGAGGAUGAUCCGCCACACUGGGACUGAGACACGGUCCAGACUCCUACGGGAGGCAGCAGUGGGGAAUAUUGGACAAUGGGGGGAACCCUGAUCCAGCCAUGCCGCGUGUGUGAAGAAGGCCUUAUGGUUGUAAAGCACUUUAAGCGAGGAGGAGGCUCUUUUGGUUAAUACCCAAGAUGAGUGGACGUUACUCGCAGAAUAAGCACCGGCUAACUCUGUGCCAGCCGCCGCUGUAA